CCUGCUCCUAGAGGCAUUGCAGUUUGGCUGAUGUUUCCAGCGUGCACCAGCAGGUGGUAGAGAGGAGAAAGGCUGUGUUUAUGCUCAGUGUUCUGAUCUCGGAAUAUUUGCAUGAUUAGUAGCCUAACAUU